rnacentral:rRNA from 2 species
GGGUUGUGAGGUUAAGCGACUAAGCGUACACGGUGGAUGCCCUGGCAGUCAGAGGCGAUGAAGGGCGUGCUAAUCUGCGAUAAGCGCCGGUAAGGUGAUAUGAACCGUUAUAACCGGCGAUACCCGAAUGGGGAAACCCAGUGUGACUCGUCACACUAUCAUUAACUGAAUCCAUAGGUUAAUGAGGCGAACCGGGGGAACUGAAACAUCUAAGUACCCCGAGGAAAAGAAAUCAACCGAGAUUCCCCCAGUAGCGGCGAGCGAACGGGGAGGAGCCCAGAGCCUGAAUCAGCAUGUGUGUUAGUGGAAGCGUCUGGAAAGGCGCGCGAUACAGGGUGACAGCCCCGUACACAAAAGCGCAUGUGCUGUGAGCUCGAUGAGUAGGGCGGGACACGUGGUAUCCUGUCUGAAUAUGGGGGGACCAUCCUCCAAGGCUAAAUACUCCUGACUGACCGAUAGUGAACCAGUACCGUGAGGGAAAGGCGAAAAGAACCCCGGCGAGGGGAGUGAAAAAGAACCUGAAACCGUGUACGUACAAGCAGUGGGAGCACCCUUUGGGGUGUGACUGCGUACCUUUUGUAUAAUGGGUCAGCGACUUAUAUU